GAUGCUUGAGGAGAGGUUGCCCGUGGCCGGUUCGCAUUCUUCAUGUCGCACAAUACACGGUCGGCCUCUCUUCGGUAUC
rnacentral:pre_miRNA from 1 species